UACGGGGGGGGCAAGCGUUGUUCGGAAUUACUGGGCGUAAAGGGCUCGUAGGCGGCCAACUAAGUCAGAUGUGAAAUCCCUCGGCUUAACCGGGGAACUGCGUCUGAUACUGGAUGGCUUGAGUUUGGGAGAGGGAUGCGGAAUUCCAGGUGUAGCGGUGAAAUGCGUAGAUAUCAGGAGGAACACCGGUGGCGAAGGCGGCUACCUGGACAGAAACUGACGCUGAGGCGCGAAAGCUAGGGGAGCAAACAGG
rnacentral:rRNA from 1 species